rnacentral:lncRNA from 1 species
AAAUCACCACCAAACUUAUUAUUAACGAUACGAAAAAUAUGAAUGGAAAUUUCAACAUAUAAUAUGAACUUGAGGAGCACCAUUCAUAUUCAAAAACAAAACAAAAAAUUAUUAUCACGCAUAAAUCGUAUAAUAUGAAUGGUAAAUUAAUCACAAUAAAGAAACAAGUUCUAGAACUUCAAACUAGCCUGCAACGAAUGGAAUUUAAAUAUAAAAUUGCAUACCAAAAAUAUUCAACAAAAAACCUGAACAACAUAAAACCCAUAAAAUAUUAGGCUAAACCAGAAAUGGAAGAGAAUAAAAAAGAAAUAUGAAACAAAACCAAGGAAAAAAUUGUUGCUGAUGGGUGGGGUUUUCAGUGAAUCUUAAAUCUGUGAUGAGAUGGGGUUCAAGAGUUGAAUAUACAGCAGUAAGACAUUAUAGCUGGGCUGAGAUGAGAUCGAAGAUGCCGCAUGCAGUUUGCAUCAUGCCUUUGCCACUGUUGAGAGAGAGGUGAGCUUAUCAAUCUGUAUAUGGGAGGAAGACUCAAUCACUGCCGUGAAGAAAUAGAGGAGUCGACGUGUUAGAUGGGUUGUUGGUCGCCGUCGACAAAGUGAUAAAAGAGAGGGAGCUUUUCUGUUUCUUAAAAAAAAAUCUCAAAUGAGAUGAGGGAUUAGGGUUUAGAUGGAGAGAUGCUAUGGUGUGGAAAGGCCCAUCGUAAUAUUUUCUAUUUCUAUUUCUAUUUUUUUUUCUUUUUAAAAAAUAAAAUAUAUAAUAUUUACCUGCCACCUGUUGGGGCAGUUUAAAAAAAGUUGCGCAUCGGUGCGCCGGGUGCACUAUAGACGUUGCCUAAGUGUUGACUACCUUCUAAGGGCUAUGCUUUAUUUUCCUUGGGUUGUAUUAAGUGAUGUGCUGGUGUUGAUUUUUAAAUUUAAAAGUUAAAAUUAGAAGUUGCUGAGUUUGUGAUGUAUUGUGAAAAUGAGGGGGUUUAGGUUUGGGUUUAGGGGGAUAACUCAGGGGCUCUAUUUAUAAUGAUCGAGGACAGAAACAAAAUUCAUUUCUUUUGCUGGCCUCUAUUAUUAUUUUCUUGGAGAGCGGGAAAAAGCAAGAGCAUCUCUUUGGGACUUGCGUUGGAUGCAUCAAUCUUUUAUGCUUAUUUUUUUAGUACAAUUGAUAGUUCAACUAGAGGAGAGAGAAAUUUCUGUAACAACCCGAUCUUUAAUUAAUUUUUAAUUAUUAGUUUAUUGUGAGAAAAGCAAUUUUG